rnacentral:lncRNA from 1 species
CGGGAGGGGUGGAUUGGAACGGGUGGGUAUGGGGCAGGCGGACGUGGGCUGAUAGACAUGGGGUAGGUGGACAGGGGACAGAUGGACAUGGGACAGAUGGACACAGCAUGCAUGAAUAUGGAUAGACUGACAUGGGAUGGAUGGAUACAGGGCGGGUGGACACGAGGUGGGAUGACGUGGGACGGGCAGACAUAGGAUGGAAGGGUAUGGAUAGAUGGACGUGGGACAGGUGGACACUGGGUGGAUAUGGGAUGGGCAGACAAGGGGUGGUGGAUGGACAUGGGUGGACAGAUAUGGGAUGGAUGGAAUAUGGGAUGGGCAGACAUGGGAUGGAUGGACAUGGGAUGGACAGAUAUGGGAUAGGUAGAAAUGGGAUGGAUGGAUAUGGGAUGGACAGACAUGGGAUGGAUGGACAUGGGAUGGACAGAUAUGGGAUGGACAGAUAUGGGAUGGAUGGGCAUGGGAUGGACAGAUAUGGGAUAGGUAGAAAUGGGAUGGAUGGAUAUGGGAUGGACAGACAUGGGAUGGAUGGACAUGGGAUGGACAGAUAUGGGAUGGACAGAUAUGGGAUGGAUGGGCAUGGGAUGGACAGAUAUGGCAUGGGUAGAAAUGGAUGGAUAUGGGAUGGAUGGACAUGGGAUGGAUGGAAUAUGGGAUGGGCAGACAUGGGAUGGAUGGAUAUGGGAUGGAUGGAUGGAUAUGAAUGGAUGGGUAGGCAUUGGGUGGACCUGCGAUGGGUGGACAUGGGAUGGAUGGUAUGGGAUGGAUGGAUAUGGGAUGGAUGGGUAUGGGAUGGAUGGACACAGUGGAUGGAUAGAUAUGAAGGGAUGGGUAGACAUUGGGUGGACUUGGGAUCGGUGGACAUGGGAUGGAUGGGUAUGGGAUGGAUGGACAUGGGAUGGAUGGGUAUGGAAUGAUGGAUAUGGGCUUGAUGGAUAUGGGAUGGAUGGACAUGAAAAGCUAACAAGGGCCAGAUGGACGUGGGGGGGUGGCCCAGCACCCCACCUCCCUCCUCGCACCCAUCAGUGCUGCGGUACCCCCACCCAGCACCCACCCGCCCCAUCCCCGCACCCCCCGUGCCCCACAUCCCCCUCCCCACGGCGCCCAUCCAUGCUGGCUUUUCCGGCCCAGCUGUCCCGCGGGGCGCGGGGGCCGGGGCAGGAAUUCGGCCGGGGCUGAGCAGCGCGCGGCAGCUCCGGAGACAGAGCAGCCUCUGAAUGCAGGGAAUGUUUUUGCAGCUGGAGUCCAUUAGGGGAGGGCUCGGCGGCUUUAUUAAUCCCAGCCUUAUUGCUCAAGAGGCGCGGGAGGGCAGGGGGAGCGCGGGGUGCGCGCAGGGGGGGAGAGCGGCCGUGAGGGGGGGUGUGGGGGGCAUAAAGAGCAGUGAGUGUGCGAGGAGGGUCUCCCUGACGACGGCCGUCCCUCCGCCGCGGGGCUUUUCUGCACCACGGAGGCUGCCCCUCUGCAGAGGUUUCCCCGCAGUGGAGGUUUCCCCCGUUAUGGAGCCGUCCCCGUGACGGAGGUUUCCCCAUCACUGAGGUUCCCCCACGGUGGGGUUCCCUCUAUGGCAGAGGUUCCCCCGUUCUGGGCACUCCCGCACGGCAGAUGGUGGAAAUAUCCUCCUGGUGAAGGUCUCCCCAAUCGCGGAGGUUCCUCCCUGCUGGAGGUGUCCCCACAGCGGAGGUUUGUCCUACAGUGGAGCUUUCCUCCUUGAUGGAGCCUUCCCCGCUGAUGGACGUUCCCCCAUUAUUGAGGCUCCCCCACGAUGGAGGCUUCUUCACAGUAGGGUCCCACCGAGAUGGAGGUCCCCCAUCGGUUUCCCCGUGACAGAGGUUUCCCAUAACCGGGGUUCCCCUGUGGUGGAGGUUUCCCCAUUAGGGAUGUUUCCCCGUCACUGAGGUUUCUCUGCAAUGGAGGAUCCCAUUGAUGGAGGGUCCCCUUAACGGAGCUUCCUCCCAUGAUGGAGGCUCCACUGAUGGAGGUUCCCCCAUUGAUAGAGGUUCCCCCAUUGAUGGAGGUACUCCCCAUAAGCGCGGUUCCCACUGACUGAGGUUCCCACUGAUGGAGGUUCCCAUUGAUGGAGGUUCCCAUUGAUGGAGGUUCCCACUGAUGGAUGUUCCCCACUGAUGGAGGUUCCCAUUGGUGGAGGUUCCCAUUGAUGGAGGUUCCCCACUGAUGGAGGUUCCCAUUGGUGGAUGUUCCCCACUGAUGGAGGUUCCCCACUGAUGGAUGUUCCCACUGAUGGAGGUUCCCACUGAUGAAGGCUCCCAUUGAUGGAGGCUCCCCAGCGCAGCCCCCCACCCUGGCAGGCUAUGGGGCAGAGCAGCACCGGGAGGAGAAGCAGUGGGGCAGCGGUGUCGGGUUUGUGCAGACGUGGAGCUGUGUGUGGGGCUGAGCCCCCCGCGCUGCCCCCCGCCUGCGCUCCCCUUCCUCUGCUUUGAUUUCUCAUUUCUCUUUUCUUGUUUCUUUUUAUGAUUUUUCCUUUCUUUUUUUUUCUUUUUCUUUGUUUCAUUUCCCCCCUUUUCCUCUUUCUUUUUAUUUAUUCUUUUUCCUCUCUUUUCCUUUUUCUCAUUUCUUUUGGCUUUUCCUUCUUUUCCUUUUUCUUCCUCAUUUUUCCUUUUGUUGCUUUUUCUUUCCAUCUUUUUUUCCUUUUUUUCCUUUCUUUCCUUUUUUCUUUUCUCACUUUUUUAGUUAUUUUCCUCUAUUUUUUCUGGUUUCUUCUUUCCUUUGAUUUUAUUUUUAUUUUUCUCUCUUUUUUUUCCCAAUUUUCUCUCCGUUUUUCUUUUUCCCAAUUUUUCUUCCCCCCCCUUUUUUCCCUCUGUUUUUUCUUCCUCCCUCUCCCUCCUCUUCCUCCCCCCCCCCCGCUCCUUUCUCUCUCUCUCCCAUUUCUCUCCGUCCCCCUCCCCAUUUUCCUCCCCUCCUCCAAAGCCGCUCCGCCAUAGCGGUGUCUCCGCACCCCAAACCCAACGGCGCACACCGCCCGUCCCGCCCCACCCCCGUUCGUUCCCGCAGCCCCACCUGCGCCCCCCCCGACCCCAAACGGCUGCAGCGGAGGAACGAAACGCCCCCGAUCGGAACCUCCGUGCCGAACUGCGGG